UACGUAGGGUGCGAGCGUUAAUCGGAAUUACUGGGCGUAAAGAGUGCGUAGGCGGAAAUGUAAGUUAGAUGUGAAAUCCCCCGAGCUUAACUUGGGAGUUGCAUUUAAGACUGCAUAUCUAGAGAUUGUCAGAGGGGGGUAGAAUUCCAAGUGUAGCAGUGAAAUGCGUAGAGAUUUGGAGGAAUACCGAUGGCGAAGGCAGCCCCCCUGGGAUAAAUCUGACGCUGAGGCACGAAAGCGUAGGUAGCAAACAGG
rnacentral:rRNA from 1 species